rnacentral:rRNA from 1 species
UACGUAGGGUGCAAGCGUUGUCCGGAUUUACUGGGCGUAAAGAGCGCGUAGGCGGCUCGUUAAGUGAGAAGUGAAAGCUGUGGGCUCAACCCACAAACCGCUUUUCAUACUGGCGAGCUGGAGUGAUGCAGAGGUGGAUAGAAUUCCCGGUGUAGCGGUGAAAUGCGUUGAUAUCGGGAGGAAUACCCGUGGCGAAGGCGGUCCACUGGGCAUCAACUGACGCUGAGGCGCGAAAGCGUGGGUAGCAAACAGG